ACACGGCUCUCGGCAACGGAUAUCUAGGCUCUCGCAUCGAUGAAGAACGUAGCAAACUGCGAUACUUGGUGUGAAUUGCAGAAUCCCGUGAACCAUCGAGUCUUUGAACGCAAGUUGCGCCCGAAGCCAUUAGGCCGAGGGCACGUCUGCCUGGGCGUCACGCAUCNCGU
rnacentral:rRNA from 1 species